rnacentral:misc_RNA from 1 species
AAUCCACCACUCCAUUACUGCCCUGGUCUGGAAUGGGCGUAUGAAGAGCUGAAGCGGCAGCAGAGAGAAAACCUGUCAGCAGGUGAGGCAUCCUACAGCUCUGAAAUCUAAUGUGCUCUCAUUAGCAGGGCCAUGUUGCUUCUUGUGAUAUACUAAACUUUCUAUGAUUUCUGAAUCUGUUGUAAGACAUACAAGUAAGUUUGUAAGUGUUUGAAAGUGUUGGACUUUUUUCAAAUACUCUCCGAUAAUAAUGUUGAACUGAAUGGUGGCUUGUGUUCUUAAAGUUUUUCCCUAUAAGCAGGCUGUAUCUGCUGAUCUGUAGACACAUGGGGAGAUAUGCAGUGAUUGGUUAUGUUU